AUGCUACCCUUGCUUUUCUCAAUAGUGGGGAUGAUAUUUGUCCUGAAAGAUGCCAGAGCCCAGUCAGUGAGCCAGCCUGACCACCACGUCAGUGUCUCUGAAGGAGCCUCACUGGAGCUGAGGUGCACGUAUGUCUAUGCUGCCACUCCUUCUCUCUUCUGGUACGUCCAAUACCCCAGCCAAGGCCUCCAGCUGCUCCUCAAGAACUUCUCAGGAAAGACCCUGGUUCAAGGCAUUAAAGGCUUUGAGGCUGAAUUUAAGAAGAAUGAAUCUUCCUUCAUCCUGAGGAAACCCUCGGCCCAUUGGAGCGACUCAGCUGUGUACUUCUGUGCUCUGAGUGACACAGUGCCCGAGGCUGCAGGGGGAGCUGCGCACAAACCACUCAGCGGAGUUUUCAGAGACUUAAGAUCCGUUCCUGUGGUAUCUUUAAAGAUCUUAUGCUAUAUGAUAGCAAAUGAGGCAAAGAGAGUUAUGCAGACCCAGGUCCUUUGA